AGUAUUUGUGUGACCUCCAAUCAGCAAAUGGCUGCUUAAGUCUAUUUUGAGUUUAUAUCCAGUUAGCCAUUCGGGAUCCAUCUUGAAUUUCUAGAGGUGCAACUUACGGACUUGAGAUCUUCCUCUUUUCUCACAGCUUCAACCCCUGAAGCCACCAAAUUCAAAGGUCUAUGAGUCUUCUCCUUACUGUAGGUGGGUGAAUUUGCU
rnacentral:lncRNA from 1 species